rnacentral:rRNA from 1 species
UACGGAGGGUGCAAGCGUUGUCCGGAUUUAUUGGGUUUAAAGGGUGCGUAGGCGGCCUUGUAAGUCAGGGGUGAAAGACUGCAGCUCAACUGUAGCAGUGCCUUUGAUACUGCAGGGCUGGAGUAUAGAUGAGGCCGGCGGAAUGGGGGGUGUAGCGGUGAAAUGCAUAGAUACCCUCCAGAACACCGAUUGCGAAGGCAGCCGGCUAAACUAUAACUGACGCUGAGGCACGAAAGCGUGGGGAUCGAACAGG